UACGUAGGUGGCAAGCGUUGUCCGGAAUUAUUGGGCGUAAAGCGCGCGCAGGUGGUUUCUUAAGUCUGAUGUGAAAGCCCUGGGCUCAACCUGGGAAUGGCAUUGGAAACUGGCGAUCUAGAGUGCGGUAGAGGGUAGUGGAAUUCCCGGUGUAGCAGUGAAAUGCGUAGAGAUCGGGAGGAACAUCUGUGGCGAAGGUGACUGCCUGGACCAGCACUGACACUGAGGCACGAAAGCGUGGGGAGCAAACAGG
rnacentral:rRNA from 1 species